rnacentral:tRNA from 1 species
UGUACUGUAGCUCAGUCUGGAUAGAGCACUAGAUUAGUAAUCUAGCUGGCGAAGGUUCGAAUCCUUCCAGUAACACCA